CAGAAAAUAGUUUAAUAAAAAUAUUAAUUUUGGAGAUUAAUGAUAGGAAUGAGUUUUUUUUUCUGA
rnacentral:tRNA from 1 species